rnacentral:rRNA from 1 species
UCAUCACUACGCUAGAUGCAUAUCAAUAAGCGGAGGAAAAGAAACUAACAAGGAUUCCCUUAGUAACGGCGAGUGAAGCGGGAAGAGCUCAAAUUUGAAAUCUUCAAGGUUCUACCUUGACGAAUUGUAGUUUAUAGAAGUGUUUUCUGUUAGAGGAGUAGUAAAAGUUCUUUGGAAUAGGACAUCAUAGAGGGUGAGAAUCCCGUAUUUGGUCAUUCUUUCUAGCUUUGUGAUACACUUUCAACGAGUCGGAUUGUUUGGGAAUGCAGUCCAAAAUGGGUGGUAAAUUUCAUCUAAAGCUAAAUAUUGGCGAGAGACCGAUAGCGAACAAGUACCGUGAGGGAAAGAUGAAAAGAACUUUGAAAAGAGAGUUAAACAGUACGUGAAAUUGUCAAAAGGGAAGCGUUUGACACCAGUGUUGUUUAUUCGAAAAUCAAUUCAAGAAUGUUUUAUUUUGAGUAAGUAUUGACUUCAUCAGCUUGCUUCUUUCUUUCUGAAAUUUAUUAAUGCACUUUUCAGCUAACAAGUCAACAUCAAUUUCUUUUGUUGUAAAAGGGUAUGAGGAAGGUGGCUUUCUCUUCGGCGCAAGUGUUUAUAGCCUUGUAUCUCUGCAAUCGGAGAGAUUGAGGUCUGCAGCGUAGAUCCUUCGGGGUUAGAUACAUUGGUGCUAAGCUAUAGCCUUGUAUAGACAACUUGUUGACUAUGCUCAGUCAUGUAGCUUACUCGCUGAUGCUAUUUUACCUACGCUUAGGAUGUUGACACACGCGCGUGCUCG